rnacentral:misc_RNA from 1 species
UUUCCGUAGGUGAACCUGCGGAAGGAUCAUUAUCACGUAUCCACGUAUAAACCACUGCGAACUGUAUUCCCUUCGAUUAGAAUUGAGGCUCUCUUAAGUGAGGGGCUUUAGGCCAGUAGUCUUUCCAUUUCGUGAUGGGAAAGCGGUCUCGAGUUGGCUUCUUUCGGGAAGCACCUUGGUCCUAUCGGAGCGGUUAUUCAUCACGACGUUUAAACAAACUUUUAACCCCUUUAAACUUUUUGAACUGAAUCUUAAGCCAUUCUUUGGUAAGAAGAAGUGUCCUACUGGGAUGCCUUUUCUGAUCAAAAGUGUCUUAUACUUUACGAAAUAUUCGAACAAUUCUUAACAACGGAUAUCUUGGCUCUG